rnacentral:rRNA from 1 species
UGGGGAAUAUUGCACAAUGGGCGCAAGCCUGAUGCAGCCAUGCCGCGUGUGUGAAGAAGGCCUUCGGGUUGUAAAGCACUUUCAGCGAGGAGGAAGGGUUCAGUGUUAAUAGCACUGUUCAUUGACGUUACUCGCAGAAGAAGCACCGGCUAACUCCGUGCCAGCAGCCGCGGUAAUACGGAGGGUGCAAGCGUUAAUCGGAAUUACUGGGCGUAAAGCGCACGCAGGCGGUUUGUUAAGUCAGAUGUGAAAUCCCCGCGCUUAACGUGGGAACUGC